UUCCGGUUGAUCCCGCCGGAGAUCACCGCUAUCAGAUUCCGACUUAACCAUGCGAGGCGAGAGGUGCAAGACCUCGCCAUACUGCUGAGUAACACGUAGUUAACCUGCCCUUAGGUGGGGAAUAAUCUCGCGAAAGUGAGGCUAAUGCCCCAUAGGCUUUGGAUACUGGAAUGUUCCAAAGCCCAAAGCUCAGGCGCCUAAGGAUGGGACUGCGGCUUAUCAGGCUGUUGUGAGGGUAAAAUCCUCACAAACCUAUAACGAGUAGGGGCCAUGAGAGUGGGAGCCUCCAGAUGCCUUCUGAGACAUGAAGGCAGGGCCUACGGGUCGCAGCAGGUGCGAAAACUUUCCAAUGCGUUCACGCGUGAGAAGGGGAGUCUGAGUGGUUGCGCUUUGCGCAACCUUUUCUUCAGUCUAGAAAGCUGGAGGAAUAAGUAGUGGGCAAGACGGGUGCCAGCCGCCGCGGUAAUACCCGCGCUACGAGUGGUGAUCACGAUUAUUGGGCCUAAAGCGUCCGUAGCCGGCCUUGCAAGUCCUUGGUGAAAUCCUGCAGCUAACUGCAGGGCGUGCUGAGAAUACUGCAAGGAUUGGGACUGGGAAAGGUGUGGGGUAUUCCACGGGUAGGGGUUAAAUCCUUUAAUCCGUGGAGGACCACCUGUGGCGACAUCCUUUAGGAUGAAGCUGUACCGAGUUCCUUAAGGGUGCCAUUAAAGGCGCCACACCGGAACGGGUCCGACGGUGAGGGACGAAAGCUGGGGGAGCGACCCGGAUUAGAUACCCGGUUAGUCCCAGCUGUAAACGAUGCCCGUUUGGUGUUGCAAGUUCUACGCGAACAUGCAGUGCCGGAGCGUAGGUGUUAAACGGGCCGCCUGGGGAGUACAUCCGCAAGGAUGAAACUUAAGGGAAUUGGCGGGGGAGCACACAAGGGGUGGAGGCUGCGGUUCAAUUGGAUUUGACGCCGGACAUCUUACGGGAACUGACAGCAGGAUGAAGGUCAGUCUGAAGGGCUUACCUGACGCACUGAAAGGAGUUGCAUGGCCAUCGUCAGCUCGUACCUUGAGGCGUGCCGUUAAGUCGGUUAACGAGCGAGACCCACGCCACCAGUUGCAACCACGUUCUCAGGAAUGUGGGCACUCUGGUGGGACCGCUGUUGUUAAAACAGAGGAAGGUGUGGGCAACGAUAGGUCCGUAUGGCCCUAAUGCUCCCGGCUACACGCGGCCUACAAUGACCAGGACAAUGGGAUGCGACGCCGAAAGGCGAAGCCAAUCUCCUAAACCUGGCCUUAGUUCAGAUCGAGGGCUGUAACUCGCCCUCGUGAAGCUGGAAUCCCUAGUAAGCGAACGUCACUAUCGUUUGCUGAAUACGUCCCUGCUCCUUGCACACACCGC
rnacentral:rRNA from 1 species